GGAACAGCGGCCUCUGACACCAGCACAGCAAACCCGCUGGGAUCAAAGUGUACCAGUCGGCAGCAUGGCUACGAAAUGUGGGAACUGUGGACCCGGCUACUCCACCCCUCUGGAGGCCAUGAAAGGACCCAGGGAAGAGAUCGUCUACCUGCCCUGCAUUUACCGAAACACAGGCACUGAGGCCCCAGAUUAUCUGGCCACUGUGGAUGUUGACCCCAAGUCUCCCCAGUAUUGCCAGGUCAUCCACCGGCUGCCCAUGCCCAACCUGAAGGACGAGCUGCAUCACUCAGGAUGGAACACCUGCAGCAGCUGCUUCGGUGAUAGCACCAAGUCGCGCACCAAGCUGGUGCUGCCCAGUCUCAUCUCCUCUCGUAUCUAUGUGGUGGACGUGGGCUCUGAGCCCCGGGCCCCAAAGCUGCACAAGGUCAUUGAGCCCGAGGACAUCCAUGCCAAGUGCGAACUGGCCUUUCUCCACACCAGCCACUGCCUGGCCAGCGGGGAAGUGAUGAUCAGCUCCCUGGGAGACGUCAAGGGCAAUGGCAAAGAGACAGAGUUUCACCAUGUUGGCCAGGCUGAUCCUGAACUCCUGACCUCAAGUGAUCCGCCCGCCUCAGCCUCUCAAAGGGCUGGGAUUACUGGCAUGAGCCACUCUGCCCCCAGCCCUGGAUGCCUGAAUUUAAGGAACUGGCAAAUCCAGCAGUGGAGGGGGUUUUGUGCUGCUG
rnacentral:sRNA from 1 species